rnacentral:rRNA from 1 species
CCUACGGGUGGCAGCAGUGAGGAAUAUUGGUCAAUGGACGAGAGUCUGAACCAGCCAAGUAGCGUGAAGGAAGACUGCCCUAUGGGUUGUAAACUUCUUUUAUAAAGGAAUAAAACGCGGCACGUGUGCCUUUUUGCGUGUACUUUAUGAAUAAGCAUCGGCUAACUCCGUGCCAGCAGCCGCGGUAAUACGGAGGAUCCGAGCGUUAUCCGGAUUUAUUGGGUUUAAAGGGAGCGUAGAUGGGUUGUUAAGUCAGUUGUGAACGUUUGCGGCUCAACCGUAAAAUUGCAUUUGAUACUGGCAGACUUGAGUACAGUAGAGGUACGCGGAAUGCGUGGUGUAGCGGUGAAAUGCAUAGAUAUCACGAAGAACCCCGAUUGCGAAGGCAGCUUACCAAACUGUGACUGACAUUGAGGCUCGAAAGUGUGGGUAUCAAACAGGAUUAGAUACCCUGGUAGUC